rnacentral:rRNA from 1 species
GAUGAACGCUAGCUACAGGCUUAACACAUGCCAGUCGAGGGGCAGCAUGACCUAGCAAUAGGUUGAUGGCGACCGGCGCACGGGUGAGUAACACGUAUCCAACCUGCCGAUUAUUCCGGGAUAGCCUUUCGAAAGAAAGAUUAAUACUGGAUAGCAUAACGAGAAGGCAUCUUCUUGUUAUUAAAGAAUUUCGAUAAUCGAUGGGGAUGCGUUCCAUUAGUUUGUUGGCGGGGUAACGGCCCACCAAGACAUCGAUGGAUAGGGGUUCUGAGAGGAAGGUCCCCCACAUUGGAACUGAGACACGGUCCAAACUCCUACGGGAGGCAGCAGUGAGGAAUAUUGGUCAAUGGACGAGAGUCUGAACCAGCCAAGUAGCGUGAAGGAGGACUGCCCUAUGGGUUGUAAACUUCUUUUAUAUGGGAAUAAAGUGGGCCACGUGUGGCUUUUUGUAUGUACCAUACGAAUAAGGAUCGGCUAACUCCGUG